GCCAGGCUCCUUCUCAAGAUCUCUCUCUCUCUCUCUCUCUCUCACACACACACACACCCCACCCAGCACCCUCACCUGUACCUCCACCGUCACAUUCAGGGCUUUGCUAGCUGCUGCUGCCUCCCCUGGCUUUCUGCUCCUGCUCCUCCUGUAGCCGCUGCUCAGCCAGGCGCGCUGCUGCUCCUCCUGGGCCUCAGGUGGCAAUGGGCACUGUGAGCCCUCCCCUUGGCCCCACCCCGAGGGCAAGGCGGGCUGGCCAGCGGUUCCUCGGCUCCCUGCUCCCAGCCAGGCGAAGCCCUACCUCUUCUCCAGUUCCGGUGCAGCUGCAGGGCCUUCUCCCGCUCCUGCAGCUCCCUGAGGACCCGGCAAGAGCCUGUCAGGGCAGCAGAAGACCCCUGGGCCCGCCCCCACCCCCUGCUGGGGAAGCCCGGCCCAAGGGCAUGACAGGACACCAGCUUAGGGCCCGCCCGCACAUGUGCCCUGAGGCUGCAGGCAGGGCUGGACUGGGCUCUGCAGUCCACACCUCCCAGGUCUCGGGCCUCCUCCGUGCCACCUUCAUCCUGUCCUGUUACUGAACCACAGGGACCCCGCGCCCUCGCCACUCUGAGCCUGAGGCCAGAUGCCAGCCCCUCCCCAGGCUGUGGGGCUGCGGGAGGCCUCAGGGCUGCCCUGUCCUGUACCACGAUCCCCACCCAUGCAGAGACUCCGAGGAGUGGGCACACCUGCUGGGCCCCACCUCCCGGCACCAGUGUGCACUCUGCCCGGGGUCACCAGCUGCGAGCCCAGGAAAAGCUGGCAGCCUCCACAGUGGCUGGGAGCCACCCUGCCCCACAUGGUGGGCAGGGCCGGGCAGGGGCCUCACCUGUCAGCCUGGAGCCGCUCCUGCUCCCGCCGCCGCUCCUGCUCCUGCUGCCCGCCAGGCGCCGAGCCUCAGCUGCCUUGCGGGCCGCUCCUGCUCCUCCCUCCUUCCUCUUCUGCAGCAGCUCCUGGUGGCGUCGCUCUUCCUCCUCCUGGGACGGCACAAGGGCCAGCGUCAGGCAGGGGUGGGGAUCAUGGGCCAGCACUGCACACAGCCGAGGGACUGAGCUGCCACUGCCCAGGCGGCUCCACAGCCAGCAGCAACGGUGCCUGUGACAUGGCACAAGCCGCUCCAACAGGGGGCGCAGCUUCCUCACUCACAGGGGCCUGAUCCUCAGGGAGUCUCAGGUGUGUUCACACCGCACACAGAGCAGUGCCAGCCCCAAAGCAAACCACAAAUCUUUGAGCCGCAAGAGAACUUCCUGCAAAGCCAACCAGCACAGCGUGCUCCCUGGAGGGGAGGACACGCACCUCCUCUGGCCAGGGCCCACGGGGAUUCUGCAGAGCCUGCUCGCUGAGGACAUGGAAACAGAGGUUAAGUAACCAGCCUGAGAGCACACAGCUCCUGAAUGGCAGGGCACAGACAGGAAGUCUGGCUCCAGAUGUACACCAGCCUGACCCUCAAACUGCUGCCUACACAGAAGAGGGGUGGGCCCGAAGCGAGGAGGCCCAGCAGGACCAAGCACAGCGGGCCACAGCCACAAGCCCUCCAGCCGCAGCGCCCACCCCGGCCCACGCACCUGCCGCAGCCUCCGGAGCCCACGCGCCUCCUCCUCCUGCCUCCUGCGUGCCUCCGCCUCCUGCCUCCUGCGUGCCUCGGCCUUUUGCUUGGCCUUCUCCUCUGCCUGCCGCUCCUCCUUGGCCUGCAGGGCCCACAUGUGCCCGCUGGAGCAGCCUCACUCCACCCCGCAAGCACCACGCCAUCCUGGCCAUGCUGGCCCAGGCCGCCCGCCUGCCCAGAGCCGCAGGGUCCCAGGCCGACCCCCAGGGCACAGCGGGGCCACAGCCUCAGCCCCUGCGCCCGGCACCCACCAGCCCGGAUCACACCUUCUCUGUCUUCUCCUCCAGCUGCGCCCAGUCUCUGCUCCAUCUGCUUCUUCUUCUCCUCCUUCAGCUGCUCCACCCGCUCCCGCGCCUGCAGCACCUUGCGGUGGCGCCUCCUCCCGCUUCCUGCAGGGCAUGGCCGUCAGGGCUGUGGGCGCCCGCCAGGCGGGGUAGGGGCUGGGGCAGGGCACCCACAGCUUCUCCUCCUCGCGCCGCCUCCGCCUCCUCCUCCUCCACCUUCUGUCUGCGCAGCUGCUCAGCCUCCUCCUUCCGCCGCAGGCUCUCCAGGCGCUGCCUCUCCUUCUCCUGGGAUGGGGGGCGGGGGACAAACCCUGACCUCCAGGCCAGUGGCAGGUACUCGAGCUCCACGCUCAGGGCAGGGACGCACCCAAACCCGAGGGUUGGCUCCCGGCAGGAUGCACAGCCCAGGGCCAGAGGCUCAAGCUGCCAACCAAAGCAGGCCCAAACCAGCUAAGACAGUGUGGCCGCAUCAGCAGUGCGCCAAGAGCAGUGAGCAGUGCAGUGGGGCUGAGGGGCGGGGCUGCAGCUGUGCUGCCCACACAAUUGUGCUUCACCACCCGCAUGCUGCCUGCCCGUGUCGCCUGCUCCUCCAUGUGCCUCAGCUGUUUCGCAACAGUUGAAAGAAAGAAAACACCCGGAUGCUGAAGAAGGGUAUACAGGCUGGGAGACAGAUGAAGGACUGUGGUCUUUCCUUGUUUUCCACACUGCCUGUGACACGGCCACAAUAAACGCAAGGCAACGUGUGUGUGGCACAGUGGAGCUGCCCGGCCCUCUGCAGAGCACGGCCCAAGCGGCAGCAGCAGCGACAGGCGGCCAGGCCCCAAGCCCUCCCCAGCCAAGGAGACGGGCGCGCUCGACAAUCCUCCAGAACAGCUGCAUGCUGCUCCUCUCUGCUCUCCUCUCCUGCUCCUUUCCUCUGGUCAGGAGCUUGGACAUGCGCAGCAAAGCACAGGACAGAGCCAGGUAACUAACACCCCCAUCUCCCCAGUGGGAGGCCAGAGAAAGAGGAGCCCCAGGGAACGGAAAGCCCUGGGGUGGUCACAAGAGCCUGCCAGGGUUCCGCACGAGUUCCACAGGCCGCCUUCAGGCCCACCUGGCCGCUGGUGGCACCCACAGGGACAGAGCCUCAUGCCCUGCCAAGGGACCGACCCUGGGGCCACAGACAGCAGGGGAACCUGCAGCCUCGCCAAGUGGAUGGGGAGCACACCGACCCUCAGCUAGACAACGCCAGGCCAGUCUCAGCACAGCUGCUGUAGCGGCAUCAUGCAGGAGUCCCCAAUCACUGAGUCUCCAAAGAACCGAAAACCCCAACUUGCAAGGGAAGACAAUCAACAGAGUGAGGGCGGCUGUUGCUAGAAUUAUCUGGGACUUCAGAGCAGCUAUUAUGGAAAAGCUCCAAUGAGUCCUCACGUAUAUGCCAGAGACACUUGGAAACACGGGGAACUCUCAGCAAAGGAACAGACAUAGAGAACCAGACAGGAACCUUAGAAAAAACAAAUGUUACGACUCAACGGAUAGGCACAGGAGCACAAUGGAAAAGACCAUGAACGUAGUCACCACGAAGAUCAAUGAGUGAGCUCAGCACGGAGAAGAAACUGCUAAGGAAGAAUCAACAGCUGGGAUCUCAUCUUAUUAAAAAGCUUCUGCACUGCAAGAGAAACCACCAACAGAGCUAAGAGACAACCUACAAUCUGGGAAAAAAUCUUUAGCAGCUGUACCUCAGACAAAGGUCUACUAUCUAGAAUAUAUGAAGAACUCAAAAAAAUCAGAUCCCCCAAAUUCAAAGACCCAAUUCAAAAAUGGGCAUCUGAAAUGAACAGACAAUUCUCAGACAAAGAAGUAAAAGCAGCAAAUAAACAUAUGAAAAAAUGUUCAGCAUCACUGGUCAUUCAAGAGAUGCAGAUGAAAACAUUGAGAUUCCACCUCAUCCCACAAAGAAUGGCUGCUAUCAAGACAUCAAGUUAUCAGCGCCUCUGGGAUCAGGGCGACAACACCAAAAGGUCUCUGCUCUUCCACUGGCGCCUCGAAAGGAGAGGAAGAAGAUGCUUAGAUAGUCGAGGACAAGAUGGCUGAGAAUGCCAAAUUCAGGGACAGACACAACCGGAGGGGAGUCCCAAGAAAUCGACACUGAAAACGCAACACAAAGGGGGGAAACGCCAGCAGCAGCCAGAAUGAAGGCUGCCUUCUGUACAGGGGACGACACUCAGAAUGGAUGAAGACGUCUCCCCAGCAGGAAACUGCACUGUGCCGAAAGAGAAACUUCACCUGGCAGUUUUCCUCCAGAAGAAAGGAGGAGGCAGCACUCUCAGGUGAAGGAAACUAGAGAACCCUCCACCUGGAGCAGAAGUCCUUUGGUGGCGGAGGGAGGGCACCAGAGGCGACAGACAGUAGACAGUGGAUGAACAGAGUUUCCACUUUAGUUCCCAAAGUGCCCACGCUGUGUGUUACUGGGGCAGCCAGACUGGUGCCAUCUGUCAGGUGACCGCAUGCACACACGUGAGGAAGGCACAGGGAACCGGUGGCACUGCCCACUUAGCCCCCACGCCUGUCUGCCUGGCCCUGCUGAGACUCACGAGCCCCAGGAGCCGAGACUAGGGACAGCUGCUGAGCUGGGAGAGAACCCGGGGCCCGUGGCCUGGUGGGCAGCCAGUCACACCCUUGGGUGCCUCAGUGGUGCCCACACCCCACAAGCUCCUGGCCGAGACGCUAGUGCUCCUAGGGCCACAGCAAGUGCAGGGAGGGAGGGCUCUACUCACAACGAAGCUGCACUGCGGAGGGAGCAGAAGCCACGUGUCAGUGCCAGGCAGGGCGCCCCAGCCCACCCCCCCGGAAGGCGUGGACCAGGCCCGCCGCAGCCAUGAGGACCCGGGGCACCCUCACCUUGGGGUCCACGCGCAGCGGGGUGUUGCGCUUGAUGAAGGAUGUCAUGCCGGCGCGGCGGGGGGCGGAGCCGGGCGCCAUGAGCAUCUGGUUCCGCUGCACGGUGUGCAGGAAGGUCCGCAGCGGCCGCACCACCUUGCUGCCCGCGCACCGGGCCCUGACGUCCCGGAGGAGGGGCUCGUCUCCCCUGCAGACCUCGGCCACGGCCUGCUCGGUCAGGGCCCGCGCCCUCCCGCGCCGGCGGUCUCGGGCUGCAGGAGUCCCGCAUCGCCCACGCUGCUCACAACCCCGGGACAGCGGCCGAGGACACCGAGGCGAGAGGGCGGGCGCCCGGGCUCCGGCCCGAGCCGGGCCGGGGUUCAAAGCUUUCACCCAGCCGGGAGCCUCGGCCCGGGCGGUUUAACACGCGGGGCGGGCGGGCCCAGAGCGCCGGGGGCCUCGGGACGCGGCACGAACACUCACCCGCCGCCCGCCCGCCGGCUCAGGCUCCCC
ensembl:lncRNA